rnacentral:rRNA from 1 species
CCGGAGCUAAUACCGGAUAAUAUUUUGAACCGCAUGGUUCAAAAGUGAAAGACGGGUCUUGCUGUCACUUAUAGAUGGAUCCGCGCUGCAUUAGCUAGUUGGUAAGGUAACGGCUUACCAAGGCAACGAUGCAUAGCCGACCUGAGAGGGUGAUCGGCCACACUGGAACUGAGACACGGUCCAG